GGUCUUAUAGCUCAGUGGUAGAGCAUACGAUUGCAGUGCGGUUAUCGUACGGUCCCGUGUUCGAUCCAGCGGUGAGACCU
rnacentral:tRNA from 1 species